rnacentral:rRNA from 1 species
GGUGAGUAACACGUGGGUAACCUGCCCGCCAUUAAGGGAUAACACUUGGAAACAGGUGCUAAUACCGUAUAACAACUGAAACCGCAUGGUUUCAGUUUGAAAGAUGGUUUCGGCUAUCACUUCUGGAUGGACCCGCGGCGUAUUAGCUAGUUGGUGGAGUAAUGGUUCACCAAGGCAAUGAUACGUAGCCGACCUGAGAGGGUAAUCGGCCACAUUGGGACUGAGACACGGCCCAAACUCCUACGGGAGGCAGCAGUAGGGAAUCUUCCACAAUGGACGAAAGUCUGAUGGAGCAACGCCGCGUGAGUGAAGAAGGGUUUCGGCUCGUAAAACUCUGUUGUUGAAGAAGAACACAUCUGAGAGUAACUGUUCAGGUGUUGACGGUAUUUAACCAGAAAGCCACGGCUAACUACGUGCCAGCAGCCGCGGUAAUACGUAGGUGGCAAGCGUUGUCCGGAUUUAUUGGGCGUAAAGCGAGCGCAGGCGGUUUCUUAAGUCUGAUGUGAAAGCCUUCGGCUUAACCGGAGAAGUGCAUCGGAAACUGGGAGACUUGAGUGCAAAAGAGGACAGUGGAACUCCAUGUGUAGCGGUGAAAUGCGUAGAUAUAUGGAAGAACACCAGUGGCGAAGGCGGCUGUCUGGUCUGUAACUGACGCUGAGGCUCGAAAGCAUGGGUAGCGAACAGGAUUAGAUACCCUGGUAGUCCAUGCCGUAAACGAUGAAUACUAGGUGUUGGAGGGUUUCCGCCCUUCAGUGC